GCUAUGGGCAACUGGGCACGUUUUCCUCUGCACAAGUUUUGAUAAAUCUUCCCCAUCAUGUGGUCCAAAGCGGCGCUGAUAUUGUCACCCAUAUCCUGCCACCAGAAACCCAACUAGAGGUACCCUUUAAGCAUUUUGAACUAAGCAGCCCAUUUUGAUCAUGGGUGUGGCUAUGUAAUGGCAGAGCAACAAAAGCCCCGACCAUCAUGAUGAUUUUUUCCAGUUGCAACUGCUCUCCACAGAACUUGCAAGACAAAAAAUGAAAUUAAUAUCUAGACAGAACUGGAAGAUGUCACCAUAAGUCAUCUGCAAUAAAAUCAAAAGAUAUAUUUAGAAUGGAAGCAGAGAGAAAGAGGCGCAAAGAAAAGGUCAAGAGACACAGGAAAAUCCGAGAGUUACUGGAGUGCAGAACUUAUCAAUACAUUGGAACUGAAUUAUGCGCCUGAAAGAAGAAUUGUGCAACUCCAAGACUCCUGGAUAAAAGUAUUGUGGAAAUGGCAAUGUGCAUGGAUUUUUUUUUCUGUUUCUAUAUACAGUAUAUAGAGUGGAUGCCUUUUACCCUGCACACUAUCAAAAAUACUGUAUUAGAAGGACAGGGAGAGGACACAAGUGCGGAUUGGCACAGGUAUUUCCCAGAUCAUGUGCAUGCAACCUAAUAUAAUCUUGAAAUAAAGAAUUCAGAUUUUUUAAUUUGUUGAAUAAAAUACUAUUACAAUUAACUAAAGUCUAGUCUUUAUACAUGAAAGAUAUUUGACUACCUCCUGUAUUGUCUGUACAUUAAUGUAACUGAAACUAGGAG